rnacentral:misc_RNA from 1 species
GAUGAAGAACGUAGCGAAAUGCGAUAAGUAAUGUGAAUUGCAGAAUUCAGUGAAUCAUCGAAUCUUUGAACGCACAUUGCGCCCGCUAGUAUUCUGGCGGGCAUGCCUGUCCGAGCGUCAUUUCAACCCUCAAGCCCCCGGGCUUGGUGUUGGGGAUCGGCGAGCCUCCGCGCCCGCCGUCCCCUAAAUCUAGUGGCGGUCUCGCUGUAGCUUCCUCUGCGUAGUAGCACACCUCGCACUGGGAAACAGCGCGGCCACGCCGUUAAACCCCCAACUUCUGAACGUUUGACCUCGGAUCAGGUAGGAAUACCCGCUGAACUUAAGCUUAUCAAUAAGCGGAGGA